AUUGAACGCUGGCGGCAGGCCUAACACAUGCAAGUCGAACGAGCGGCGGACGGGUGAGUAAUGUCUGGGAAACUGCCUGAUGGAGGGGGAUACCUACUGGAAACGGUAGCUCAUACCGCAUACUAUCGGAUGAACCCAUUUGGGAUUAGCUCGUAGGUGGGGUAAAGGCUCACCUAGGCGACGAUCGCUAGCUGUUCUGAGAGGAUGAACAGCCACACUGGGCAUGAGACACGGGCCAGACUACUACGGGAGGCAGCAGUGGGGAAUAUUGCAUAAUGGGAGCAAGCCUGAUGCAGCCAUGCCGCGUGUAUGAAGAAGGCCUUAGGGUUGUAAAGGACUUUCAGCGGGGAGGCGUUACCCGCAGAAGAAGCACCGGCUAACUCCGUGCCAGCAGCCGCGGUAAGUC
rnacentral:rRNA from 1 species